GUGACGGCAGCGCCGCGCGCCGGGCGGCGGGAGUUGGCGCGAAGGCGGGAGCAUGGAGCCGGGAGCGUCCCGCUAGGCAGGGGGAGCGUCCCGCCGGGCACAGGCACCGCGCCGCCGCCGCCAUGCAGGAGCACACGCCAGGCGUUGCUGAUGGCGAGCUGGAGGGUGCGCAGUAUUUCCAGAAAAGCAAUUCGAUGGGGGAAAAAAGAGCUUGAAAGUCUGGAAGUAAACAAGUGUUCAUCGAUAACGAUGCAACCAUCAGUAGGAUGUAAAGAGAUUUUAAGCAUAAACAUAUAGGUGUUCCUGUGCUUUCCAAAGUGCUGCUCACCUAUGCAGUCACCAUAAGAUGAUAUCCCUUUUCAUUUCUGGCUCAAAUAAGUUUGCUUUUAUUCUGAUGGAGUCUCUGUGCACAUCUUUUGCUGGCUUAACUACAGAUGUCAUUUUGCAAGUUAAGGUGCAACUCUAGUUCUGGAUUCUCCAAAGAAUUUAAGCUUGUUUAUAGCUUACACCUGGUGCUCUGCAAUGGUGG
rnacentral:lncRNA from 14 species